CUACGGAGGGGGCUAGCGUUGUUCGGAAUUACUGGGCGUAAAGCGCGCGUAGGCGGAUUGAUCAGUCAGGGGUGAAAUCCCGAGGCUUAACCUCGGAACUGCCUUUGAUACUGUCAAUCUUGAGUGCGAGAGAGGUGAGUGGAAUUCCUAGUGUAGAGGUGAAAUUCGUAGAUAUUAGGAAGAACACCAGUGGCGAAGGCGGCUCACUGGCUCGAUACUGACGCUGAGGUGCGAAAGCGUGGGGAGCAAACAGGAUUAGAUACCCCAGUAGUCC
rnacentral:rRNA from 1 species